UACGUAGGGGGCUAGCGUUGUCCGGAUUUAUUGGGCGUAAAGAGCGUGUAGGCGGCCAGGUAGGUCUGCUGUGAAAACUCGAGGCUCAACCUCGAGACUGCGGCGAAACCAUCUGGCUAGAGUCCGGAAGAGGAGAGUGGAAUUCCUGGUGUAGCGGUGAAAUGCGCAGAUAUCAGGAAGAAUACCCGUGGCGAAGGCGGCUCUCUGGGACGGUACUGACGCUGAGACGCGAAAGCGUGGGGAGCGAACAGG
rnacentral:rRNA from 1 species